GAAGCCGGACAGCUCAAAUUUGAAAUCUGGCCCUCGGGUCCGAGUUGUAAUUUGUAGAGGAUGCUUUUGGUGCGGUGCCUUCCGAGUUCCCUGGAACGGGACGCCUUAGAGGGUGAGAGCCCCGUACGGUUGGACGCCUAGCCUCUGUAAAGCUCCUUCGACGAGUCGAGUAGUUUGGGAAUGCUGCUCUAAAUGGGAGGUAUAUUUCUUCUAAAGCUAAAUACUGGCCAGAGACCGAUAGCGCACAAGUAGAGUGAUCGAAAGAUGAAAAGCACUUUGAAAAGAGGGUUAAAUAGCACGUGAAAUUGUUGAAAGGGAAGCGUUUAUCACCAGACUUUUUCUAGGGGGAUCAUCCGGUGUUCUCACCGGUGCACUUCCCCUGGUUGAGGCCAGCAUCGGUUUUCGGAGGGGGAUAAAAGCUUCGGGAAUGUGACUCCCUCGGGAGUGUUAUAGCCCGUUGCAUAAUACCCUUCUGGGGACCGAGGUUCGCGCAUCUGCAAGGAUGCUGGCAUAAUGGUGAUCAACGACCCGUCUUGAAACACGGACCAAGGAGUCGAACAUUUAUGCGAGUGUUUGGGUGUCAAACCCUCACGCGUAAUGAAAGUGAACGGAGGUGAGAGCCCUUACGGGUGCAUCAUCGACCGAUCCUGAUGUCUUCGGAUGGAUUUGAGUAAGAGCAUAACUGUUCGGACCCGAAAGAUGGUGAACUAUGCGUGGAUAGGGUGAAGCCAGGAGAAAUCCUGGUGGAGGCUCGCAGCGGUUCUGACGUGCAAAUCGAUCGUCAAAUCUGCGCAU
rnacentral:rRNA from 1 species